AUGGAGGUGAGCUUCUCCGGUGGCGGCGGCGACCUGCAGCCGAAGGGCGACGGCGGCGGUGCUCGACUCAAUCUACAGGAGAGAGAGACAGAGGAUGAGAGGGAGAGAGAGAAGGAAGGAGAGGAGGAUAAAGAGAGAGGAAAUAGGAGAGGGAGGUGCGGCGGUGGACAGGAGAGGGUGGGUGGAAGGACGCCGCCGGCUCGUCGUUGUUCACACCGUGUUGGACAAAGAGGAGAGGGAUGUGCGGCGGCAGAUGGGAGAGGGUCACCGGAAGGAGCACCGCUGGCUCGUCAUCGUUCACACCGCACUGGGAAAGUGAUGCCUCUGUAUAGCCCUCACGCCCGCAGAGUACAGAAGUGGUUGCCCCUGAGGUCUCCUCCUGCUCAGCUUAUUCAUUGA
rnacentral:rRNA from 1 species